AUGAACAGGACGGUGGCGGCGAUACCCGCCGUCAGGAAGAGGGAGGCGGAGGCUCAGGCCGCGGCGCCCGCACCCAAGAGGCUCACGUCCGCCGGAACCGCCGGGCGAAGGCCACGGAAGCGGAUCCGCGAGGAUAAGCUUGUCAGCGACGGGGAUCUCAUCAGCAAACUCCCCGAUGACAUCCUCGGCACCAUCAUCUCCCUCCUCCCCACCAAAGACGGCGCCCGCACGCAGGCCAUCGCUCGCAGAUGGCGCCCUCUCUGGCGCUCAGCGCCUCUCAACCUCCACGCCUCCUACCACCUCUGCUCCAAACAGUUCAAGCGCCUCUCCGUCGUCUCCAGGAUCCUCUCCGACCACCCUGGACCUGCCCGCCGUUUCGUCUUCCGCCUCGUCCGCCUCCACAAAGCGAAAAAAAGGCACGCCGAGGAAGCCGCUCAGAUCGAGAACUGGUUCCACUCCCGAGCCCUCAGAAACCUUAAGGAGCUCGAUAUCAGCUUCGACCUCUUGGACUAUGUACAUGAGAAGCUUUAUCCGCUGCCCUCAUCAGUGUUCUGCUUAGCACCAACUCUCCUCGUGGCCCUAAUCAGCUUCUGCGAAUUCCCCAAGGAGAUCACUCAUUCACUUAGUUUUCCGUUGCUCAAGCAGCUCAUCCUGCGGCGCGUAUCCAUCUGCCAGGAUGUCUUCCAUGGGGUGCUCUCUGCCUGCCAUCUGUUGGAGUCGCUUGAAUUGAAGGAAAUUCGUGAUACUAAUUGCUUGCGCAUUAGCUCGGCAACUCUUAGGAGUGUGAGCCUCUGCGCUUGUUUUGCAGCCAAAGGAGAAUUGUUCAUUGAAGACGCCCCUCUCCUUGAAAGGCUGCUACUACCUUGUCCGCGCGAAGGGGGUGAGAUUAUUCGGAUAAUCCAGGCACCUAAACUGGAGAUACUGGGCCUUUUGUCUCCCCGCAUCUCCAAAAUUGAGAUUGCUAAUGUAGUCUUCCAGAGUUUAACCCCAACAAGCUUGAAUAAUACGAUAGCCACAGUGAAGGUUUUGGCUCUCGAGUUUCCAGUCCCUGAUUUGAAUGCUGUUAUUGACGUCUUAAGAUGCUUCCCGUGCUUGGAAAAGCUUCAUGUCAUUUGGGAGAAAUACUUGAAGAUAGGUACGAAAAAUGCACGUCAGUAUGACCCAUUAGAUCCAGUCAAAGGCCUUGAUACCCAUCUAAAAAAACUGGUAUUGAAAAAUUACGAGGGCAGUGAGCAAGAUGUUGGCUUUGCCAAGUUCUUUAUUUUGAACGCAAAAGUGCUGAAGGAACUCAAAUUUGGAGUAAGUCAUAGGAUCAACAAACAAUGGGUGGCUGAUCAAUACAGGCUGCUAGAAAUGGAAAAUAGAGCUUCUCAAGGCGCUCAAUUGGAAUUCAUACAAAAUGAUGAUGUGUCGUCUUUGGAUGCCCAUGAUUUGUCAACUGCCGAUCCCUUUUAA
rnacentral:rRNA from 1 species